rnacentral:rRNA from 1 species
CGGGGUGCAGCAGGCGCGAAAACUUUACCAUGCUGGCAACAGCGAUAAGGGGACCUCGAGUGCCAGGAUACAAUCUUGGCUGUCGUGAUGCCUAAAAAGCAUUACAUAGCAAGGGCCGAGCAAGACCGGUGCCAGCCGCCGCGGUAACACCGGCGGCUCGAGUGGUAACCGCUAUUAUUGGGUCUAAAGGGUCUGUAGCCGGCCGGAUAAGUCUCUUGGGAAAUCCAGCAGCUCAACUGUUGGGCUUCCAGGGGAUACUGUUCGGCUCGAGGCCGGGAGAGGUGAGAGGUACUUCAGGGGUAGGGGUGAAAUCUUGUAAUCCUUGAAGGACCACCAGUGGCGAAGGCGUCUCACCAGAACGGUCCUGACGGCAAGGGACGAAAGCUAGGGGCACGAACCGGAUUAGAUACCCGGGUAGUCCUAGCCGUAAACGAUACUCGCUAGGUGUCGGCCACGGUGCGACCGUGGUCGGUGCCGUAGGGAAGCCGUGAAGCGAGCCACCUGGGAAGUACGGCCGCAAGGCUGAAACUUAAAGGAAUUGGCGGGGGAGCAC